rnacentral:rRNA from 1 species
GCACCACAAGAACGCGUGGAGCAUGUGGCUUAAUUUGACUCAACGCGGGAAAUCUUACCGGGUCCGGACACACUGAGGAUUGACAGGCAAUAUCUCAUGGUUAUUAACCCGGUUAUUACAUUUUGUUUAAUCGGUUAUUAAGCAUCGAGUGUUAAAUAUGCUAGUCCUUUCAUGAUUAUGUGAUAGGUGGUGCAUGGCCGUU